AAGCCCUUACUAUUCUAGGUGACACUAGCUAGUCGUCAAAUAAAGGAAGAUAACAUGUUUGACAUAUGUAUAUAUUGAAAUGUGACAUUGUGUAAAUUAAUAAACCACAUUUUAAAGCGUAUUUUACACAAUCAACAAUAUCAAUAUCUUUAAGUCACAUUAAGACUAAUAUUUGUCGUGCGUAAAUGAUAAUUUAGCGCACUGCAUUCACGUCGGUCUGAAGCCAAAGCCCGCAGGAAGCGUAAUUGGCAGAAAAUAAUUUAAAAUUUCAGUCGGCGAGCUGCUAUAUUAAACUUUAAAAUGGCAAGGUGAGGUUAUUAGGUAAUUAUUGUUAUGAUUCGUGAGAAAAUGGCCGGUAAAAUCAUCUCGGAGUAGAAUAUUACUUUUUAAUAUACCGUGAAUCUCUAUAAAUAUUAUCGUAAUAACCUAAUCGAAGUAUAACUGCUUUUGGAACAACCCUUGAUUCGCCAUGCGGAAGAAUAAAAAUACGAAUACACAUGAACAACGAUAUUGUAAGCGCCGAGAAACUAGCCGAUUCUCCGUCAUUCGGGCAUGACACAAGUGGUACACCGCCCGACAUCUCGAAGGUUAAGCGGGAAUCUUCCGGAACACCGUUCUGCCGAGUAUAUAAGGAGCCGCAUGCCGAUAGUUGCAUUUCAAUGAUGUAAAAGUUCAGAAUAAUGACGCGAAAUUACAUGUAUAAUAGUUAUAAAUAAAUACAAUAAAACUAAAUAUCUCUAAUAGUUGUGAGUAAUCGUGUCUUCGUAGUGAAGUGUGUAAAUAAAUUAGUUGACUAUUUUAGAUGAUUGAUGAUUUUCCUAAAAAAUAAACUGAU